GUUUAUUUAUGUUCUCUAACGAUUUGACCCCAUAGGCUUUACUAUUCACCAUUCAUUUUUUUCUAUCAUAAAACCCUAAACCCUUUGCAAAAAGAACGAACUUGGUCCCAAUAAAAUCCCACAAAUUCAAACAAAUCCUUACGUUGUUAGUAUUAAAAUAGCAUUAUUUCGUCGCAUUUUCAAUGGAUCUUCAACGAUUGUUCAACCACAAGAUUGUUCAAUUCGGUUGAAUUCAACCCUCAUAAGUCCUAAACUUUUUGUCAGCGGCACUCUAGCUUUAAUCUGAUUCUUCUUUAUUGUGGAAUUAUGGGCUUCUUCAUGACUUCAUCAUUGGUCGUUGCUUGCAUCUUCAGGAGAUUCGAUUUGCUUGGUUGGGUUCGUUGCUUGCAUCUUCAUUUCACUAUUUCAUGUCUGCAUGUGGAAACACCCUCAAGCAUGUAUUUUGCUUAUUUGAUAUUUUUAGCCUCAAGUCGAGUCUCUACUGGUUAUUUUAUUGUUGCUGAGUAUCAUGUUCCAAAUACUGAGAUGUUGCUUGUUCUUCUCCCAAGUAUUGCCUUGUAAUUGUGGCCCGUUGUGAACCUUCCGACUCUUAAUGGAGCUAUCUGAAUUUUACAUUUAACGAAUUUGCAAUUCAGAAUGUGAGGUUCCUAACUAACUUCAUCACCGAGGCUGGAAUUCUCGUCAAGAGAAGCAAGACUGGAAUUAGUGCCAAGGCCCAAAGAAAGAUAGCCAGGGAGAUAAAAACUGCCAGAGCUUUUGGUCUGAUGCCUUUUACAACUAUGGGAACAAAGCAGUUUGUAUUUGGCAGAACAAUGGAGGACCUUGACGCAACAAUUUUGUCGAUACAGAAGCUGGCCGGGAAUCCCCUUUUAAGGCUUAAAAGAUAAUACUAGUUAGUACGUGUUUUAAUUAACAAUGGUUCGUCCUUGGGAACAACGUGUAUUUCAGUUAUGGAUGGCUAAGGGCCGAUUUGCAGAUGAGGAAUUAGCAGCAUAUUAAGCGCUCUUUCAUCCUAUCAAAAGAUGCUCUCGGGGUGUGUUUCAAUUACAUAAUACCUCAAAGGACUGCCGGGUUUCAUUGUACAUCAGUGAUUUAGCUGUCGGAGCUCUCCUUUGGUGGUUCAUUUUGCAGAUGUUCGAAAUUAACUGUUGGCUCUACUUCUGUUUUCUGA